GAUCAAUUUUUUUGUUUUUUUGGAAUAGUCGAGCACGCAGAACAAUGUCACUGCCUUCGGCAGAAGAGGCGGCGGCGCCGGCCGUGACCACGACGGCACACAAAGCCCCUGCGGAGAUCAGUCAAGACAGCCCCCUCUACUCGCUCUCUCCCCUCGAUGGUCGCUACAAGCGUGACACGACCCCGCUGCGCGCCUACUUCUCCGAGUACGCGUUAUUCAAGUAUCGCGUGCAGGUGGAGGUGCUGUACUUCGAAGCGCUGUGCAAGGAGGUGCCGGCGAUCACGCAGCUUCGCGGCGUCACCGAUGCGCAGCUGGGGGAGCUGCGGGCGACCACUUUCGAGAACUUCGCAGUCGACGAUGCAAAAAUAAUAAAGGGCAUUGAGGCGGUCACGAACCACGACAUCAAGGCCGUCGAGUACUACCUGAAGGACAAGAUGUCCGCCUGCGGCCUCGAGGCCGAAAAGGAGUUCAUCCACUUUGGGCUAACGUCGCAGGACAUCAACAACACCUCGAUUCCGAUGCUCCUGCGCGACGCUCUGCACCACCACUACAUUCCAACGCUGGAUCAGCUGAUCGCGCUUCUCAAGAGCAAGCUGCCUGAAUGGGAUGUCCCGAUGCUGGCGCGGACGCACGGCCAACCGGCGAGCCCGACGAACCUGGCGAAAGAGUUCAUGGUAUGGAUUGAGCGGCUGGAAGAGCAGCGGACGAUGCUGCUGAGCAUCCCAAACACAGGCAAGUUCGGCGGCGCUACCGGCAACUUCAACGCGCACCUCUGUGCGUACCCUGGCGUGAACUGGCUGGACUUUGGGGAGCUCUUCCUGAGCAAGUACCUUGGCCUCCGCCGUCAGCGCUACACAACUCAGAUCGAGCACUACGACAAUCUCGCCGCCAUCUGCGAUGCGUGCGCGCGGCUGCACACGAUCUUGAUGGACCUGGCCAAGGACGUGUGGCAGUACAUCUCACUCGGCUACUUUGAUCAGAAGGUGAGGGCGGGCGAGGUCGGCAGCAGCGCGAUGCCGCAUAAGGUGAACCCGAUCGACUUCGAGAACGCUGAGGGCAACCUGGGCAUGAGCAACGCCGUCCUCGGCUUCCUUUCAGCGAAGUUGCCCAUCUCCCGUCUGCAGCGCGACCUCACAGACAGCACGGUGCUGCGCAACCUCGGAGUUCCGCUUAGCCACGCCCUCAUCGCGUUUGCCUCCCUGCGCCGCGGCAUCGACAAGCUCCUUCUCAACAAGGACGUCAUCGCCUCGGACCUAGAGGGCAACUGGGCUGUGGUCGCGGAGGGCAUCCAGACCGUGCUGCGCCGGGAGGGCUACCCGAAGCCGUACGAGGCACUCAAGGACCUGACGCGCGGCAACGCGCAUGUUACGGAGGAGACGGUGCACCGCUUCGUCCAGCAGCUCGAGGGCAUCACAGAGGAGGUGCGGCAGGAGCUGCUCGCCAUCACGCCUUUCACGUACGUGGGCUACACGGCGCAUCCCUGAGAGAACGAGAAAAGGAAGCGCAACAGCCUCGGGAGUCCAGUGGUGAACCGAAGCGCCUCGUACGCACGGAGGAGGAAUAGACGUGGUGCUGUCGCUGCCUGUUGUACACGUCAGCGGCGAAGCGGGCUGCAUUAUGGGUGAGCGCGACGACCCUCUUCUCUCUGGCAGGGAGUAGAGGGGGGAGUCGUCUCUGAGCCGAGGUGAAUAAGAACUGUCGUUGCCGUCUCCCUCAGCAGCAGCAGUUGUAGCGUUACUAGCGUGCUGCGGAGAGAGAAACAGCGGCGAGGUUUGACCAUCUCCCCUCAAUCCACCUUCUGCACCACUCACCACCCCUGGCGCACGCACACACACACACACACAUACACACUCCUCCCUCCCGCUGAGUAAGGCACACAUGCAUAUAGCAGCAGCAGCGGCGGCGGCGGCGGUCCUACUCGAACGUCUGCUGUCCGCUCUUAGUUUCCUUGCCGCACGCAUGUCGUGCCAAGGCUACAUGUUUUUCGAGGUUUUUCGUUCGUUUCAGUAGUGGGAGUCGUGAUAGGCGCGCCGCGUACGCGUCUCCCUUGUCGGGCGGGCGCGAGGGAGAGAGGGAAAGCGGGCGGUGGGGGUGCGUAGGCCCUCAUCAUGUGUGCGCACCCGUACAGACAGCAGAAACAGUGGCCUCCCCUAGUGGGCGUCAGUUGAGUUCCUGCCAUUGUAUCCUGCACCGAGGAGGAGUACGCGCGUGCGAUUCUCUGCGCGCAAUGUCUCUGUGAUGUAUGGCGCAUAACGCCACUCGCCAACUUAGGGAAGAGGGGAGAGUGGGCAAAACAAAGGCGUUGCUCUGGCAGCAACGUAUACCGGCAUCAAUGGCGCACCGCCUGAGCGCCGCGCCGGUAGAGACAG
rnacentral:misc_RNA from 1 species